UGUUGGAUGUGCUCUUUAAGGAUGGAGUCUUCCCAAUGGCUCUGCCUCCAUGUUGGCAGGAGUCAAUAACUCUUCUUGAGUCACUAACUGCAGACUCUCUGUCCAGCACCAACCUUGAUGGUUUCCUCAUGGCCCUCGCCUCACCCCCCACAGUGGCUUCCCAAAGGAAGCCCUGUUCACUGUCUGCUAGGCUAUAAGAGUGACAUUCUCCUGAGAUAGACCUCCUUGUAGGGACAAGAUCUGGACACCAUGUUAUCAGCCUGGAAAGACUCACUGUUCCAUUGUUGGUGUUUUAGUCUUCUCCUCUCUCUUCCCCCUGCAUUCUCCCUGUAAAGCACCUAUGCAGGCCCUGGUGUUGCAUGAGCCCAGCCUCCGUGUGACAAAGUGGUGUCACUGCUGAUUGGCAGCUGGGCCUGAGACGCUGGAGCUAAACUGCAGCUCCCAUUGUUUCUUGCAAAUGUCUGCCUUUCAGGACUGUGGAAAUUGAUGACCGAAUAGUGCUGUACGAAUAGUAGCAUCAUCUAGGUUCCAGACACUGCUUUAGGUGAUGGGGACUCAGCAAUGAAUGCAAUUGACUGCCCUUCUGGAGCUUACAUUUUAGGAGGAAAGACAGAUAAUAAAAUAAUGAAACAAGA